rnacentral:rRNA from 1 species
AUACGUAGGGAGCGAGCGUUGUCCGGAAUUACUGGGUGUAAAGGGAGCGUAGGCGGGAGUGCAAGUCAGAUGUGAAAUACAUGGGCUCAACCCAUGGGCUGCAUUUGAAACUGCAUUUCUUGAGUGAAGUAGAGGUAAGCGGAAUUCCUGGUGUAGCGGUGAAAUGCGUAGAUAUCAGGAGGAACACCGGUGACGAAGGCGGCUUACUGGGCUUUUACUGACGCUGAGGCUCGAAAGCGUGGGGAGCAAACAGGAUUAGAUACCCUGGUAGUCCACGCCCUAAACGAUGAAUACUAGGUGUGGGGGGACUGACCCCUUCCGUGCCGGAGUAAACACAAUAAGUAUUCCACCUGGGGAGUACGACCGCAAGGUUGAAACUCAAAUGAAUUGACGGGG